UACGUAGGGUGCGAGCGUUAAUCGGAAUUACUGGGCGUAAAGCGUGCGCAGGCGGUUCGUUGUGUCGGCAGUGAAAGCCCCGGGCUUAACCUGGGAAUGGCCGUCGAAACUGGCGAACUGGAGUGUGGCAGAGGGGGGUGGAAUUCCGCGUGUAGCAGUGAAAUGCGUAGAGAUGCGGAGGAACACCGAUGGCGAAGGCAGCCCCCUGGGCUGACACUGACGCUCAGGCACGAAAGCGUGGGGAGCAAACGGG
rnacentral:rRNA from 1 species